AGAAAAUGUAUCAGUAUAAUGUAGUGCUAAAGAGUAAAAAGGCUAUUCAAUCAACAUCAGACAUGCAAUUACUCCUAUUUCUGUUAAAUAUGAACAUUAAUAGAGCAAACCUUUUCUCUGGAGCUGGUUCAGACUUGGAUUCAGGUUCUGUUUUAGUUUCAACUGGUUUAGGCUCUGGUGUGGGUUUAAGAUCGGUUGCCGUUAUAGUUUUUGUGGAAGUUUUAGUUUCAACUGAUUUAGAUUCAGUUGCUGGUUUAGUCUCAACUGGUUUAGGUUCAGUUGUUGUAGUUUGUGUGGUAGGUUUAGUUUGAGCCACUGGUUUAGGUUCAGUUGUUGUUGUAGUUUCAGUUGCAGGUUUAGGUUGUGAAGCUGGUUUAGGCUCAGAUGUUGUUUUAGGCUGUGUUGCGUUUUCUAGCACUGGUUUAGAUUCUGAU